AGAGUUUGAUCAUGGCUCAGGACGAACGCUGGCGGUGUGCCUCACACAUGCAAGUCGAACGGGGUAGCAAUACCCAGUGGCGGACGGGUGAGUAACACGUGGGAAUCUGCCUCUAAGUGGUGAAUAACUGGCCGAAAGGCUAGCUAAUGUGCCAUACGCCGAAAGGUUAAAGCAGCAAUGCGCUAAGAGAUGAGCCCGCG
rnacentral:rRNA from 1 species